rnacentral:rRNA from 1 species
GCUGGCGGAAUGCUUUACACAUGCAAGUCGAACGGCAGCACGGGGGCAACCUGGUGGCGAGUGGCGAACGGGUGAGUAAUACAUCGGAACGUGCCCAGUCGUGGGGGAUAACGUAGCGAAAGCUACGCUAAUACCGCAUACGAUCUAUGGAUGAAAGCGGGGGACCGUAAGGCCUCGCGCGAUUGGAGCGGCCGAUGGCAGAUUAGGUAGUUGGUGGGGUAAAGGCCUACCAAGCCGACGAUCUGUAGCUGGUCUGAGAGGACGACCAGCCACACUGGGACUAGACACGGCCCAGACUCCUACGGGAGGCAGCAGUGGGGAAUUUUGGACAAUGGGCGCAAGCCUGAUCCAGCCAUUCCGCGUGCAGGAUGAAGGCCCUCGGGUUGUAAACUGCUUUUGUACGGAACGAAAAGGCUCUGGUUAAUACCUGGGGCUGAUGACGGUACCGUAAGAAUAAGCACCGGCUAACUACGUGCCAGCAGCCGCGGUAAUACGUAGGGUGCGAGCGUUAAUCGGAAUUACUGGGCGUAAAGCGUGCGCAGGCGGUGAUGUAAGACAGGUGUGAAAUCCCCGGGCUUAACCUGGGAACUGCAUUUGUGACUGCAUUGCUGGAGUGCGGCAGAGGGGGAUGGAAUUCCGCGUGUAGCAGUGAAAUGCGUAGAUAUGCGGAGGAACACCGAUGGCGAAGGCAAUCCCCUGGGCCUGCACUGACGCUCAUGCACGAAAGCGUGGGGAGCAAACAGGAUUAGAUACCCUGGUAGUCCACGCCGUAAACGAUGAGUGCUAAGUGUUAGAGGGUUUCCGCCCUUUAGUGCUGCAGCUAACGCAUUAAGCACUCCGCCUGGGGAGUACGGCCGCAAGGCUGAA